rnacentral:rRNA from 1 species
GACGAACGCUGGCGGCGUGCUUAACACAUGCAAGUCGAACGCUGAAGCCCAGCUUGCUGGGUGGAUGAGUGGCGAACGGGUGAGUAACACGUGAGCAACCUGCCCUUCACUCUGGGAUAACUCCGGGAAACCGGGGCUAAUACCGGAUAUGAGCGUCCCGUGCAUGCGGGGUGUUGGAAAGUUUUUCGGUGAGGGAUGGGCUCGCGGCCUAUCAGCUUGUUGGUGAGGUAGUGGCUCACCAAGGCGACGACGGGUAGCCGGCCUGAGAGGGCGACCGGCCACACUGGGACUGAGACACGGCCCAGACUCCUACGGGAGGCAGCAGUGGGGAAUAUUGCACAAUGGGCGAAAGCCUGAUGCAGCGACGCCGCGUGAGGGAUGACGGCCUUCGGGUUGUAAACCUCUUUCAGCUCCGAAGAAGCGAGAGUGACGGUAGGAGCAGAAGAAGCACCGGCUAACUACGUGCCAGCCGCCGCCGUAACAC